rnacentral:rRNA from 1 species
AACGAACGCUGGCGGCAGGCCUAACACAUGCAAGUCGAACGCCCCGCAAGGGGAGUGGCAGACGGGUGAGUAACACAUGGGAACGUACCCUUCGGUUCGGAAUAACACAGAGAAAUUUGUGCUAAUACCGGAUACGUCCGAGAGGAGAAAGAUUUAUCGCCGAUGGAUCGGCCCGCGUCUGAUUAGCUUGUUGGGGAGGUAACGGCUCACCAAGGCGACGAUCAGUAGCUGGUCUGAGAGGAUGAUCAGCCACACUGGGACUGAGACACGGCCCAGACUCCUACGGGAGGCAGCAGUGGGGAAUAUUGGACAAUGGGGGAAACCCUGAUCCAGCCAUGCCGCGUGAGUGAUGAAGGCCCUAGGGUUGUAAAGCUCUUUUACCUGGGAAGAUAAUGACUGUACCAGGAGAAUAAGCCCCGGCUAACUUCGUGCCAGCCGCCGCAGUAACAC